rnacentral:rRNA from 1 species
UACGUAGGGGGCAAGCGUUGUCCGGAUUUAUUGGGCGUAAAGAGCGUGUAGGCGGCCAUGUAGGUCAGUUGUGAAAACUCGAGGCUCAACCUCGAGACGCCGAUGGAAACCAUGUGGCUAGAGUCCGGAAGAGGAGAGUGGAAUUCCUGGUGUAGCGGUGAAAUGCGCAGAUAUCAGGAAGAACACCCGUGGCUAAGGCGGCUCUCUAGUACGGUACUGACGCUGAGACGCGAAAGCGUGGGGAGCGAACAGG